CACCGCCCGUCACAUCAUGAAAGCCGGUUGUACCCGAAGUCCGCAAGCAACCGCAAGGAAGCGAGCGGCCGAAGGUAUGGCUGGUGAUUGGGAGUG
rnacentral:rRNA from 1 species